rnacentral:rRNA from 1 species
UGUAUAAUGGGUCAGCGACUUAUAUUCUGUAGCAAGGUUAACCGAAUAGGGGAGCCGAAGGGAAACCGAGUCUUAACUGGGCGUUAAGUUGCAGGGUAUAGACCCGAAACCCGGUGAUCUAGCCAUGGGCAGGUUGAAGGUUGGGUAACACUAACUGGAGGACCGAACCGACUAAUGUUGAAAAAUUAGCGGAUGACUUGUGGCUGGGGGUGAAAGGCCAAUCAAACCGGGAGAUAGCUGGUUCUCCCCGAAAGCUAUUUAGGUAGCGCCUCGUGAAUUCAUCUCCGGGGGUAGAGCACUGUUUCGGCAAGGGGGUCAUCCCGACUUACCAACCCGAUGCAAACUGCGAAUACCGGAGAAUGUUAUCACGGGAGACACACGGCGGGUGCUAACGUCCGUCGUGAAGAGGGAAACAACCCAGACCGCCAGCUAAGGUCCCAAAGUCAUGGUUAAGUGGGAAACGAUGUGGGAAGGCCCAGACAGCCAGGAUGUUGGCUUAGAAGCAGCCAUCAUUUAAAGAAAGCGUAAUAGCUCACUGGUCGAGUCGGCCUGCGCGGAAGAUGUAACGGGGCUAAACCAUGCACCGAAGCUGCGGCAGCGACACUAUGUGUUGUUGGGUAGGGGAGCGUUCUGUAAGCCGUUGAAGGUGUGCUGUGAGGCAUGCUGGAGGUAUCAGAAGUGCGAAUGCUGACAUAAGUAACGAUAAAGCGGGUGAAAAGCCCGCUCGCCGGAAGACCAAGGGUUCCUGUCCAACGUUAAUCGGGGCAGGGUGAGUCGACCCCUAAGGCGAGGCCGAAAGGCGUAGUCGAUGGGAAACAGGUUAAUAUUCCUGUACUUGGUGUUACUGCGAAGGGGGGACGGAGAAGGCUAUGUUGGCCGGGCGACGGUUGUCCCGGUUUAAGCGUGUAGGCUGAUUUUCCAGGCAAAUCCGGAGAAUCAAGGCUGAGGCGUGAUGACGAGGCACUACGGUGCUGAAGCAACAAAUGCCCUGCUUCCAGGAAAAGCCUCUAAGCAUCAGGUAACAUCAAAUCGUACCCCAAACCGACACAGGUGGUCAGGUAGAGAAUACCAAGGCGCUUGAGAGAACUCGGGUGAAGGAACUAGGCAAAAUGGUGCCGUAACUUCGGGAGAAGGCACGCUGAUAUGUAGGUGAAGCGACUUGCUCGUGGAGCUGAAAUCAGUCGAAGAUACCAGCUGGCUGCAACUGUUUAUUAAAAACACAGCACUGUGCAAACACGAAAGUGGACGUAUACGGUGUGACGCCUGCCCGGUGCCGGAAGGUUAAUUGAUGGGGUCAGCCGCAAGGCGAAGCUCUUGAUCGAAGCCCCGGUAAACGGCGGCCGUAACUAUAACGGUCCUAAGGUAGCGAAAUUCCUUGUCGGGUAAGUUCCGACCUGCACGAAUGGCGUAAUGAUGGCCAGGCUGUCUCCACCCGAGACUCAGUGAAAUUGAACUCGCUGUGAAGAUGCAGUGUACCCGCGGCAAGACGGAAAGACCCCGUGAACCUUUACUAUAGCUUGACACUGAACAUUGAGCCUUGAUGUGUAGGAUAGGUGGGAGGCUUUGAAGUGUGGACGCCAGUCUGCAUGGAGCCGACCUUGAAAUACCACCCUUUAAUGUUUGA